GGAGGCGUCGCAUAGCGGUCUAGUGCGCACGCUUGGAAAGCGUGUAGGGUGAAAGCCCUCGAGAGUCCGAAUCUCUCCGCCUCCGCCA
rnacentral:tRNA from 1 species